rnacentral:rRNA from 1 species
GCUAGAGUGUCGUACGGGUGCGUAACACGUAUGCAACCUACCUUUUACAGGAGUAUAGCUCCCCGAAAGGGGAAUUAACCCUCCAUAAUAUCAUUGGAUGGCAUCAUUUGAUGAUUAAAACUGAGGUGGUAAAAGAUGGGCAUGCGUCUGAUUAGUUAGUUGGCAGUGUAACGGACUACCAAGACGAUGAUCAGUAGGGGACCUGAGAGGGUGAUCCCCCACACUGGCACUGAGAUACGGGCCAGACUCCUACGGGAGGCAGCAGUAGGGAAUAUUGGACAAUGGGUGAGAGCCUGAUCCAGCCAUGCCGCGUGCAGGAAGAAGGCGUUAUGCGUUGUAAACUGCUUUUGCCAGGGGAUAAAACGGUUCUGCGGAACUAAUUGAAGGUACCUGGUGAAUAAGCCACGGCUAACUACGUGCCAGCAGCCGCGGUAAUACGUAGGUGGCAAGCGUUGUCCGGAUUUAUUGGGUCUAAAGGGUGCGUAGGCGGCCCUGUAAGUCAGUGCUGAAAUAUCCCGGCUUAACCGGGAGGGUGGCAUUGAUACUGCAGGGCUUGAGUACAGAUGAGGUAGGCGGAAUUGACGGUGUAGCGGUGAAAUGCAUAGAUAUCGUCAAGAACACCGAUAGCGAAGGCAGCUUACCAAGCUGUAACUGACGCUGAGGCACGAAAGUGUGGGGAUCAAACAGGAUUAGAUACCCUGGUAGUCCACACUGUAAACGUUGAUGACUCGAUGUUGGCGAUAUACAGCCAGCGUCCAAGAGCAAUCGUUAAGUCAUCCACCUGGGGAGUACG